rnacentral:rRNA from 1 species
UGAGGAAUAUUGGUCAAUGGGCGGGAGCCUGAACCAGCCAAGCCGCGUGAGGGAAGAAGGCCCUAUGGGUCGUAAACCUCUUUUGUCAGGGAACAAAAGCCGAUAUGUAUAUUGGUGUGAGUGUACCUGAAGAAAAAGCAUCGGCUAACUCCGUGCCAGCAGCCGCGGUAAUACGGAGGAUGCGAGCGUUAUCCGGAUUUAUUGGGUUUAAAGGGAGCGUAGGCCGUCUUAUAAGCGUGUUGUGAAAUGUCGGGGCUCAACCUGGGCAUUGCAGCGCGAACUGUGAGACUUGAGUGCGCAGGAAGUAGGCGGAAUUCGUCGUGUAGCGGUGAAAUGCUUAGAUAUGACGAAGAACUCCGAUUGCGAAGGCAGCCUGCUGUAGCGCAACUGACGCUGAAGCUCGAAAGCGUGGGUAUCGAACAGGAUUAGAUACCCUGGUAGU